CGCGCAGGCGGGUCAAUAAGUCAGAGGUGAAAUCCUACAGCUCAACUGUAGAACUGCCUUUGAUACUGCUGAUCUUGAGUAUGGAAGAGAGAGACGGAAUUCCAGGUGUAGUGGUGAAAUACGUAGAUAUCUGGAAGAACACCAGUUGCGAAGGCGGUCUCUUGGUCCAAUACUGACGCUGAGGCGCGAAAGCGUGGGUAGCAAACAGGAUUAGAUACCCUGGUAGUCC
rnacentral:rRNA from 1 species